AAGCUUAAACUUUUUUUAGAA
rnacentral:tRNA from 2 species